CGGCUGUAGCCAAAUCAGACAUCUGAGAGAAGUUAACUGGCCGGUUGUUGUGAGAUCCCUUUGGUCUAUGUUGACUAAUCUGCUUACCGAACUUCUCAUAUUG